CGGACGGGUGAGUAACACGUGGGUUAUCUACCCUUAGGUGAGGAAUACCGGCGAGAAAUCGCCGACAAGACCGCAUACGCUUCUCACGAAGCAAAGCCCCGCAAGGGGUGCCUGGGGAUGAGCCUGCGGCCGAUUAGCUAGUUGGUGGGGUAACGGCUCACCAAGGCGACGAUCGGUAGCUGGUCUGAGAGGAUGAUCAGCCACACUGGGAUUGAGAACGGCCCAG
rnacentral:rRNA from 1 species